AAGUCUCCUUGAAUCAGUUUAUCCCAAUGUCUUCUGGUUUUCUAUGUUGGCUACAGUCAAGAUAACCUAUUACUAAGGGCCUACUCCAAUAUCUAGAGAUGGCAGAUAUUCAGUUGCAGUUCAAACCAAUGAAGUCAGAAUCUCUGGAGGUGGGACAAAGCUCUUAGGUGGCACUAGAAGAGGACCACAAGCCUGCCAGAGGGAGGAGAGUAUUGCUUCUUCCUGUUCCCAUUAGUGUCACCUCAGCAGUGACUUUUCACCCUGGAGUGGCAG
rnacentral:lncRNA from 1 species